GCGCGGUUGGGAGGGGUGGGGAAGUGCGCGGGAGCAGGUCGGAGGUGUUGGGGGCGCGUUGGGUAGAGCCACCCUCCUCCCCUGCGGUCCAGGAACCGUCCACCAAGUAGGAGGAAGCGGCUCUGGGUGGGUGCGGCGGCCACUGCGAGCCAAGCUACGGGGCCGGGGACGCGCCUGAGAGCCUUGCGAGUGUUCCGGGGGCGCGCCUUCUCCUGGUCUCCUGGGCCUGGCACCCAGCGGAAAUUGGGAAGUGACGGGCACAAGCCGGAUCAUGAAGCGGGGAAGAUUUCUCCACUUCCCCACUUCCUCUCCAGACGUCGGUCAGAGCAAGGGAAGAGGGAAAAGGUGGGGGCUGACGCCCCAAGGCCGCCCUCCUGUUCCCUCCCGAUGAAUGUGCUCAAGCGGAAGACUACGCGUUUGUUCACAUGGAGAAGGAAGCAGAUGCCAAAGCCGCAAUCGCGCAGCUCAACGGCAAAGAAGUGAAGGGCAAGCGCAUCAACGUGGAACUCUCCACCAAGGGUCAGAAGAAGGGGCCUGGCCUGGCUGUCCAGUCUGGGGACAAGACCAAGAAACCAGGGGCUGGGGAUACGGCCUUCCCUGGAACUGGUGGCUUCUCUGCCACCUUCGACUACCAGCAGGCUUUUGGCAACAGCACUGGUGGCUUUGAUGGGCAAGCCCGUCAGCCCACACCAC
rnacentral:lncRNA from 1 species